rnacentral:rRNA from 1 species
CAGUCGCCGCGGUAAAACGGAGGGUGCAAGCGUUAAUCGGAAUUACUGGGCGUAAAGCGCACGCAGGCGGUCUGACAAGUCAGAUGUGAAAUCCCCGGGCUUAACCUGGGAACUGCAUUUGAAACUGUCAGGCUGGAGUCUUGUAGAGGGGGGUGGAAUUCCAGGUGUAGCGGUGAAAUGCGUAGAGAUCUGGAGGAAUACCGGUGGCGAAGGCGGCCCCCUGGACAAAGACUGACGCUCAGGUGCGAAAGCGUGGGGAGCAAACAGGAUUAGAUACCCGCGUAGUCCCUGUCUCUUAUCC